GAUGAACGCUGGCGGCGUGCCUAAUACAUGCAAGUCGAGCGAACAGAUGAGGAGCUUGCUCCUCUGACGCUAGCGGCGGACGGGUGAGUAACACGUGGAUAACCUACCUAUAAGACUGGGAUAACUUCGGGAAACCGGAGCUAAUACCGGAUAAUAUAUUGAACCGCAUGGUUCAAUAGUGAAAGACGGUUUUGCUGUCACUUAUAGAUGGAUCCGCGCCGCAUUAGCUAGUUGGUAAGGUAACGGCUUACCAAGGCAACGAUGCGUAGCCGACCUGAGAGGGUGAUCGGCCACACUGGAACUGAGACACGGUCCAGACACCUACGGGAGGCAGCAGUAGGGAAUCUUCCGCAAUGGGCGAAAGCCUGACGGAGCAACGCCGCGUGAGUGAUGAAGUUUUUCGGAUCGUAAAACUCUGUUAUUAGGGAAGAACAAAUGUGUAAGUAACUAUGCACGUCUUGACGGUACCUAAUCAGAAAGCCACGGCUAACUACGUG
rnacentral:rRNA from 1 species